rnacentral:rRNA from 1 species
AUUGAACGCUGGCGGUAUGCUUAACACAUGCAAGUCGAACGAUGAGAAAGAGCUUGCUCUUUCGAUUAGUGGCGGACGGGUGCGUAACGCGUAGGAAUCUACCUAUUAGUGGGGGACAACUUAGGGAAACUUAAGCUAAUACCGCAUACGCCCUACGGGGGAAAGAAGGGGAUCGCAAGACCUUUUGCUAAUAGAUGAGCCUGCGUAGGAUUAGCUAGUUGGUGGGGUAAAAGCUCACCAAGGCGACGAUCCUUAACUGGUUUGAGAGAAUGAUCAGUCACACUGGAACUGAGAAACGGUCCAGACGCCUACGGGAGGCAGCAGUGGGGAAUAUUGGACAAUGGGCGAAAGCCUGAUCCAGCAAUACCGCGUGUGUGAAGAAGGCCUUAGGGUUGUAAAGCACUUUCAAUUGGAAGGAAAACCUCGAAGCUAAUACCUUCGAGUUUGACAUUACCUUUAGAAGAAGCACCGGCUAAUUCCGUGCCAGCCGCCGCAGUAACAC